AUGCUGCACGGGAGGACCCCCGUUCAAUUCGAUCCAGAGUUCGGCUCCGGCGCUGGUGACAGUGAUGAAGGGCCGUCUUUCACACCGUCCUCUGCGCGUGCUACGGUCUGGCCGCCAUCGGAUUCAUCACACGAGCUCGCGGACCAGGAGGAUUACAGAGUCAGCGAGGAGGAUUUCUGUGAGCACCUCAGUGUUUUGUCCAGCAGGCCUCGUCCUACAACCAUCGUCGGGCCCAGGAUGGACAGUGAACAGCAGCGCAAGGUCUACGAGCGCCUUGCGCUCUACCGCAUCAGAGCAUCCAAGAUGACACAGGGAGUGUCCAUGGACGAGCUGGAUGACAUGACUCUGAGAAAGGAAUGCCUCCCGGAAGCUCUUGAGGAGAUGUAUUACUUCAGUGACUACGACCAUGAUGACACCAUUGAUUGGUACUUCGACCCUGACCACUCGGUCCACUCCUACUUGAGCGACUACCACCGCCUUGUCCUUAAAAAUGGAGAUGGCACGAGGUACCUUGACUGGGAGAAGUACUGCUCAUGGUUUACUACCUACGAAACAGAUGAAGAGUAUCUCAAGUACUUUGAAGAAAUAUCAAAGAAGAUCAAGUGGAUUAAACGUUACAUGGAAUUUGAACGAGGAUCUCCUGAGUGGAUAGAGAUGGAAGCUAGAGGAUUUCGGCAAGCAGUGGAGAUCGCGGUAGACUUUCCCCACAUGAGCUUUGAUUUAGCUUCUACUGCAUACACGGAUCAUAUUUUUAACACGAGAUUUGAUUAUUUUGACCGUGAAGAAAUUGAUCCUCUUGUUUUUGAGAUUUGGAAGCGUGUCACUAAGCAAAAGAUUACAUUCAGACAGGCUCUGGAACAAAUCCAGCAAGAGAACAUGUUCCCUCGACAGGAGAAGUGUAUACAAUUUGUACUGGAUAAUACUAGUAUCUAUACUCGUUUGCAAUCAACUUUCGAUACUUGCGUGGAAGACAUCUCCGAUGAGACUCCAGAGGAUGAAGGCCGUAGGUUAAUUACAAUGGCGGUUUGGAGCAAGCUUCACAAAGAGAAGACAUGGAAUGAGUAUAUUAUGAGGAAGGUAGAGAUUGCUAAACACAUUGGGUUGGAUCUCCAAGCUACAUGUAUCCGAAUUUAA
rnacentral:rRNA from 1 species